CCUACGGGCGGCAGCAGUGGGGAAUAUUGCGCAAUGGGCGAAAGCCUGACGCAGCGACGCCGCGUGAGGGAUGAAGGUCUUCGGAUCGUUAACCUCUGUCAGCAGGGAAGAACGGUCACUGUGCUAAUCAGCAGUGAAUUGACGGUACCUGCAAAGGAAGCACCGGCUAACUCCGUGCCAGCAGCCGCGGUAAUACGGAGGGUGCGAGCGUUAAUCGGAAUUACUGGGCGUAAAGCGCUCGUAGGCGGUAUGUCAAGUCAAGGGUGAAAUCUCCGCGCUCAACGUGGGAACUGCCGUUGAAACUGGCGAACUGGAGUGUGCGAGAGGAUAGUGGAAUUCGAGGUGUAGGGGUGAAAUCCGUAGAUAUGUGGAAGAACACCAGUGGCGAAGGCGACUAGCUGGCACAGAACUGACGCUGAGGAGCGAAAGCGUGGGUAGCAAACAGGAUUAGAUACCCCUGUAGUC
rnacentral:rRNA from 1 species